AAACACUGGGAUGCCGGAGCUCAGGCAUCCCAGACAGGAGGAAGUGUGUACUCACACCAGCCAGGAGGCAACAAGCCUGCCUGGGAGGACAGACGAUCAGCCCUGGCUGUCCCUCGGGAGCGGGGAGCCUCCAAGGCACACUGCCCACUGGGUCAAGGAGUAUCCAGGAGGAGUUAGAAGG
ensembl:misc_RNA